AAGCAUCUUUUAAUUAUCUAUGAGCUGAUUACGCUGUCGAUACAAUAAUUAUGUACAUGUGAUACUAUGUGUAGCAUAGUGAGAUAUAUACAUAGUGUAAUAUACAUUAUCUAUAGUAGAAUAUCGGUGCCAUAUAGUCAUCAGUUCCCUCCAUUUCCGUACAUCCUCUGAAGUAGGCGUUUUAUCACCUCUGGUUUAUAGGCAGAGAAAUAGAAGCCUCAGAAAAACUUAAAUUUCUUCACGAUUACUCACCUGGAACUCAACCAGGGAGCCUGACCUAGGUGAUAUUGAAGUUGUAAUUUUGGGUAUUAGAGCUUGGUCUUAGUCACUUCCUCAUCCCUGGAACAAAAUACCCAGCACCCAUGAUUUACAGGAAGAGAGGUUUUAUUUUCCCCGCACAGUUUCAGAAGUUUCAGCUCAUGGCCAGGCAGUGCCAAGGCAAGUGGAAAGGCCUGGGUAGAAGAAGCUGCUCAUGUCCUGGCAGACAAGGCCAUGGAGGAGUGCAGCACCCCGUGAUCUGGUCAUCCUCCAAAAGCCGCACACCGAGCCUGUGAGAGUUGGGGGCAUAUUCCAGAUUCAGACCAUGACAAGACAGGAACGAAAACCAGCUGCUCUGAAUCUAUGCUUGAUGACCACUGUGAGGGGAAAUCAUCCCCAAACGUAAGGACACACUGGCUGAGAUGGUAGGUGUGGAAACCCUUCAGCUAAUCCAGCAAGAAAAGUGGAACCGGGGAGGUGUCUGCCCAUGAUGUGAUCAAAAAUAUGUUGAACACUGCUGCACAGUGCUGUCCAGGGACAGCAGGCUUAUAAACACAUGACGCCGUUCCUUGUCCACCUUAUCCACCAGAUCUGGCAUUGGACUUCUGGCUUUUCUCCAAAGCCAAAAGGAUCAUGAAAGGUCAAUGUUAUGAAGGGACCCAAGAAAUUGAGGCAGCUGCAACAGUACAACUAAAGAGACUAAGGAAAGAGGACUCUAGAGCUGCUGCAAGAAUGAUGUGUUCAAACUGAGGGAAGGUAUUUGGAGAGAAUUCAUUGGACUAUCUUUUAUUGUAAUAAAAUUCCUUUAAAUUGACA